GCCGGGGUGGUCUAGUGGUAUGACGUUCGCCUCACAAUAGAAUACUGGUCUACGUAUCAGCUGAAUUCCCUGGUCCCGGUA